UACAUAGGGGGCAAGCGUUGUUCGGAAUUACUGGGCGUAAAGGGCGCGUAGGCGGCCUUCUAAGUCGAACGUGAAAUCCCCGGGCUCAACCCGGGAACUGCGUCCGAUACUGGAAGGCUUGAAUCCGGGAGAGGGAUGCGGAAUUCCAGGUGUAGCGGUGAAAUGCGUAGAUAUCUGGAGGAACACCGGUGGCGAAGGCGGCAUCCUGGACCGGCAUUGACGCUGAGGCGCGAAAGCCAGGGGAGCAAACGGG
rnacentral:rRNA from 1 species